GUCCCUUCCAACUCUACAGUUCUAAGAUUCUGUGAAGACAUCUCCUACUGAGUUAGCACAUCCAGCCCAGUAUUGUCAACAGUUGCUGGAAGUAGCUCUCCAGGGUUUCAAGAUUGGAGUCAUAGAAUCAUAGAAUCAUAGAGUUGGAAGAGAC